rnacentral:rRNA from 1 species
GACGAACGCUGGCGGCGUGCUUAACACAUGCAAGUCGAAAGGGGUUAAGGAGCUUGCUUCUUAACUUAGUGGCGAACGGGUGAGUAACGCGUGAGGAACCUGCCUUUCAGUGGGGGACAACAGUUGGAAACGACUGCUAAUACCGCAUAAAACCGUAGUACCGCAUGGUACAUCGGUCAAAGAUUUAUUGCUGAAAGAUGGCCUCGCGUCUGAUUAGCUAGUUGGUGGGGUAACGGCCCACCAAGGCGACGAUCAGUAGCCGGACUGAGAGGUUGACCGGCCACACUGGGUCUGAGACACGGCCCAGACUCCUACGGGAGGCAGCAGUGGGGAAUAUUGCACAAUGGGCGCAAGCCUGAUGCAGCAACGCCGCGUGAGGGACGACGGCCUUCGGGUUGUAAACCUCUUUUAGCAGGGAAGAAGCGAAAGUGACGGUACCUGCAGAAAAAGCACCGGCUAACUACGUGCCAGCCGCCGCCGUAAUAC